rfam:Halobacterium sp. NRC-1, complete genome.
UAAGGCGGCCAUAGCGGUGGGGUUACUCCCGUACCCAUCCCGAACACGGAAGAUAAGCCCGCCUGCGUUCCGGUCAGUACUGGAGUGCGCGAGCCUCUGGGAAAUCCGGUUCGCCGCCUACU